rnacentral:rRNA from 1 species
AUGGGGGGACCAUCCUCCAAGGCUAAAUACUCCUGACUGACCGAUAGUGAACCAGUACCGUGAGGGAAAGGCGAAAAGAACCCCUGUGAGGGGAGUGAAAUAGAACCUGAAACCGUGUACGUACAAGCAGUAGGAGCCCACUUGUUGGGUGACUGCGUACCUUUUGUAUAAUGGGUCAGCGACUUAAUUUUAGUAGCAAGGUUAACCGUUUAGGGGAGCCGUAGGGAAACCGAGUCUUAACUGGGCGUCAUAGUUGCUAGGAUUAGACCCGAAACCGAGUGAUCUAGCCAUGGGCAGGUUGAAGGUGAGGUAACACUUACUGGAGGACCGAACCGACUAAUGUUGAAAAAUUAGCGGAUGACUUGUGGCUAGGGGUGAAAGGCCAAUCAAACUCGGAGAUAGCUGGUUCUCCCCGAAAGCUAUUUAGGUAGCGCCUCGGACGAAUACUACUGGGGGUAGAGCACUGUUAAGGCUAGGGGGUCAUCCCGACUUACCAACCCUUUGCAAACUCCGAAUACCAGUAAGUAAUAUCCGGGAGACACACGGCGGGUGCUAACGUCCGUCGUGAAGAGGGAAACAACCCAGACCGCCAGCUAAGGUCCCAAAGUUAUAGCUAAGUGGGAAACGAUGUGGGAAGGCUCAGACAGCCAGGAUGUUGGCUUAGAAGCAGCCAUCAUUUAAAGAAAGCGUAAUAGCUCACUGGUCGAGUCGGCCUGCGCGGAAGAUUUAACGGGGCUAAGCUAUACACCGAAGCUGCGGCAAUAUG